AUUGAACGCUGGCGGCAUGCCUUACACAUGCAAGUCGAACGGAAGCACGGGAGCAAUCCUGGUGGCGAGUGGCGAACGGGUGAGUAAUAUAUCGGAACGUGCCCAGUAGUGGGGGAUAACUGCUCGAAAGAGCAGCUAAUACCGCAUACGACCUGAGGGUGAAAGGGGGGGGAUCGCAAGACCUCUCGCUAUUGGAGCGGCCGAUAUCAGAUUAGCUAGUUGGUGGGGUAAAGGCCUACCAAGGCAACGAUCUGUAGUUGGUCUGAGAGGACGACCAGCCAAAUUGGGACUGAGACACGGCCCAGACUCCUACGGGAGGCAGCAGUGGGGAAUUUUGGACAAUGGGCGCAAGCCUGAUCCAGCAAUGCCGCGUGCAGGAAGAAGGCCUUCGGGUUGUAAACUGCUUUUGUCAGGGAAGAAAUCCUCUAGGUUAAUACCCUUGGGGGGAUGACGGUACCUGAAGAAUAAGCACCGGCUAACUACGUGCCAGCCGCCGCCGUAAGAC
rnacentral:rRNA from 1 species